GACGAACCGUGCGAACGUUGUUCGGAAUCACUGGGCUUAAAGGGCGCGUAGGCGGGCCUUCAAGUCCGGGGUGAAAGCCUCCAGCCUAACUGGAGAAGAGCCUCGGAGACUGAGGCCUCGAGGAGGGUAGGGGCAAGCGGAACUAUGGGUGGAGCGGUGAAAUGCAUUGAUAUCCAUAGGAACUCCGGUGGCGAAGGCGGCUUGCUGGACCCUUUCUGACGCUGAGGCGCGGAAAGCCAGGGGAGCAAACGGG
rnacentral:rRNA from 1 species